rnacentral:rRNA from 1 species
CCCUUAGAUGUUCUGGGCUGCACGCGCGCUACACUGAUGCACUCAACGAGUUUACGACCUUGCCCGAUAGGGUUGGGUAAUCUUUUUAAAAUGCAUCGUGAUGGGGAUAGAUUAUUGCAAUUAUUAAUCUUCAACGAGGAAUUCCUAGUAAGCGCGAGUCAUCAGCUCGUGCUGAUUACGUCCCUGCCCUUUGUACACACCGCCCGUCGCUCCUACCGAUUGAGUGCUCAGGUGAAUAAUUCGGACUGCAGCAAUGUUUGGGUCCCGAACGUUGCAGCGGAAAGUUUAGUGAACCUUAUCACUGAGAGGAAGGAGAAGUCGUAACA